GAUGAAGAACGUAGCGAAAUGCGAUAAGUAAUGUGAAUUGCAGAAUUCAGUGAAUCAUCGAAUCUUUGAACGCACAUUGCGCCCGCCAGUAUUCUGGCGGGCAUGCCUGUCUGAGCGUCAUUUCAACCCUCAUGCCCCUAGGGCGUGGUGUUGGGGAUCGGCCAAAGCCCGCGAGGGACGGCCGGCCCCUAAAUCUAGUGGCGGACCCGUCGUGGCCUCCUCUGCGAAGUAGUGAUAUUCCGCAUCGGAGAGCGAUGAGCCCCUGCCGUUAAACCCCCAACUUUCUCAGGUUGACCUCAGAUCAGGUAGGAAUACCCGCUGAACUUAAGCAUAUCAAUAAGCGGAGGA
rnacentral:misc_RNA from 1 species